rnacentral:rRNA from 1 species
CCUACGGGCGGCAGCAGUGGGGAAUAUUGGGCAAUGGGCGCAAGCCUGACCCAGCAACGCCGCGUGAAGGAAGAAGGCUUUCGGGUUGUAAACUUCUUUUGUCAGGGAAGAGUAGAAGACGGUACCUGACGAAUAAGCCACGGCUAACUACGUGCCAGCAGCCGCGGUAAUACGUAGGUGGCAAGCGUUGUCCGGAUUUACUGGGUGUAAAGGGCGUGUAGCCGGGUUGAUAAGUCAGAUGUGAAAUCCUGCGGCUUAACCGCAGAACUGCAUUUGAAACUGUUGACCUUGAGUACUGGAGAGGCAGAUGGAAGUCCUAGUGUAGCGGUGAAAUGCGUAGAUAUUAGGAGGAACACCAGUGGCGAAGGCGGUCUGCUGGACAGCAACUGACGGUGAGGCGCGAAAGCGUGGGGAGCAAACAGGAUUAGAUACCCCUGUAGUC